rnacentral:rRNA from 1 species
GACGAACGCUGGCGGCGUGCCUAAUACAUGCAAGUAGAACGCUGAAGAUUUUAGCUUGCUAAAGUUGGAAGAGUUGCGAACGGGUGAGUAACGCGUAGGUAACCUGCCUACUAGCGGGGGAUAACUAUUGGAAACGAUAGCUAAUACCGCAUAACAGCAUUUAACCCAUGUUAGAUGCUUGAAAGGAGCAAUUGCUUCACUAGUAGAUGGACCUGCGUUGUAUUAGCUAGUUGGUGAGGUAACGGCUCACCAAGGCGACGAUACAUAGCCGACCUGAGAGGGUGAUCGGCCACACUGGGACUGAGACACGGCCCAGACUCCUACGGGAGGCAGCAGUAGGGAAUCUUCGGCAAUGGGGGCAACCCUGACCGAGCAACGCCGCGUGAGUGAAGAAGGUUUUCGGAUCGUAAAGCUCUGUUGUAAGAGAAGAACGUGUGUGAGAGUGGAAAGUUCACACAGUGACG